rnacentral:rRNA from 1 species
UACGUAGGGCGCAAGCGUUAUCCGGAAUUAUUGGGCGUAAAGAGCUCGUAGGCGGUUGUCGCGUCUGCCGUGAAAGUCCGGGGCUCAACUCCGGAUCUGCGGUGGGUACGGGCAGACUAGAGUGAUGUAGGGGAGACUGGAAUUCCUGGUGUAGCGGUGAAAUGCGCAGAUAUCAGGAGGAACACCGAUGGCGAAGGCAGGUCUCUGGGCAACAACUGACGCUGAGGAGCGAAGCGUGGGGAGCAACAGG